CACAGUCCACAUACAGGGUUCUUAACCUGCGUUUUUGCCUACAUUUUAGACUAACCCUGCUUGUUCCUGUGAGCCAACCAACAAUCUCUGGCUGCAGCUCAGAAAGGACAAAAGGGGAUGGAUGAGGGAGACUUCCCAGGGCUUGUCUGGGUAUGCCCACAGUGGACUGGAGCCCAGCAUGCACACUGGAGGAAGUGGGUGGAGCCACGCGGAAGUCAUGCCUUAUGCAGGGGAGGAACCUGCUCUCUUCAGCUCCUGUGGUAACGUGGGAAUCGAUCUGUGAGGAAACACUUUCUGAAAAUGUCAGAACUCUUGAAAACAUGGAUGAGGAAAAGCAUAAGGACUGCUUUAUGCUUGUCUUAUGAAUUUUAAAAUAUGUAAUUUAAAGAUACUUUAAAGUGAUAUUUGUGCCCUUGUUAACUGAUUCAAAGUAGACUGCUAAGGACAGUAAGUAAUAAGAGUCUACAAAUAUCAAUAAAUUAUGAGAAAAAACGGUCUAAUGGUACUUAAAAUUGCAUUGUGAUUUAUUAAAUAACAUAUUGAACAGC
rnacentral:lncRNA from 1 species